CCAUCUGGAAGGCCUUUUAUUUCACGCCCAAGUUCAGCCCUGCUGGCGCCAACGGAUGUUUCUCCACACACGUGUGUUUCUGUUUUGGGGACUACAUCACUCACCACGACCCACCUUUGUUGUUUGAUAUCGCCAAAGACCCGAGAGAGAGCAAUCCGCUAACGCCUACAUCGGAGCCCCGAUUCCACGAGAUCCUUAAGGUCAUGCAGGAAGCUGAGAACAAGCACAGCAGGACCCUCCAGGAUGUCGCCAACCAGCUCUCCAUAGGGAACAUUAUGUGGAAGCCUUGGCUGCAGGUCCGCUGCUCGUCAUCCUCGUCUGCCCUGUCUUGUCAGUGCGACAGAGAAAAACAGAACCGACAAAAGGAAUGACAGGCUAGGCACUGCCUCUGAGGACCAGAGAGGUUCCACACAUUCCAUUGACCAUCUUCAUUUAAACGGCCGUACGGGAGUUCCUGUGGUCAGAGGGAGGUCGGUCCUCGGUGUGUGAACUCCGUUCUCAUUUUCACUUACACCAAUUCUGUAUGAACAAGACAUCCACAGUGGGCUCAACUGGGGCACCGGUGGCAUAUGGCAAUACUUUUCUUUCAAGGCUUCAUCUUUGACUCAUGUCCAGGGAAUGAUAGAGUUCUCUCUGACAGAAAUACAGACAGAUGGGGAAAGUUGCAAACGUAACUUCUCCCAUCCUAGGGAAGCAGCUAGCUAAGAGUCAGUGGUAUAAGGGGUCGUGGACUUUAUACUUUGAAAUAACCCAGUGACUCUUAGGGCUCCCAAGCACAGCUGGAAAGAAGACAAUCAAGCGUCAGAAGACUUCAGUAACUCUAACAUAUGCACCUUUAAAAUGAAUGAAGGACUCUCUGUGAUGGAGAAUGGACAUUCUGAUUUGCUUAUGCAAGGCUAAUCAGUAUUACUAGGAUUUCCCAAACAUAUCAAGUGCUGCUUGCUAUACGCACAUAUAGACACUAUCUAUAUUUAUACACACACACACACACACACACACACACACACAUAUAUUUCUUCGACAAAAUUAAGGUAUCUAGGGACCUAGGGGUUUAUCACUGUUUUAAUGAAACCAAAAAGACCCAUAAAUCGGUCUUUCUGAUCAAUGACUAUUCUACCCAAUCCCUCGUUAGCACUAAUCACAGGACAGAUGUCAAAUGUAUUUCUUCAUUGAUAGUAUUAUUUUGAACUCAGCUGUUUCUGUAAAGAAUGGACGGACAAGGGCAGUUUGGGUACUGCCGCGACUCAGGGAAUCUCAAUCAACAUUGUUUGGAAUUCUCAGUGUGGAAAGUAUACGCAAUUUUGAGGGCAGUGGUCGGGAAACUAAGAAAUCCAUGAUAUCUGUGCAUAUGGGUCAUUUGUAGUGCUAGAUAUGAAUUACUGAGGAGGCACAAAUGUACUUGGAUGUGGUUGUAUCCUGUGGCUGAGAAAUAUGUGUUCGUUGUCUGCGGUGAGACGUACAGUUUUGUUGUAGAUCCGCUUCCGCCAAGCUUUAAUAAUUCUUGGAAAAGUGCAUUCUGGGCGAUAGGGUAAUUUCACAGUCUGUCCUGGAUAAAGACCUCUUUACCCACCUUGCCACUUUGACACAGGUACCUGACUGGAAACAAAGAAGGACGGGUUUUAUUUUCAGUUACAGUUUGAAAAGAUACACUCCAUCACGAUGGGGAAGGCGUGGUGGGAACCAGAGUGUGCUGGACGGUUUGCUGUCUUUUCACAUCCCAGCAGAACAGGGGACAGAAGGAACACGGGAACUAGAGCUGACUACCAAGCCAUCAAGCGGAGCCCUCAAUAAAUGUGUUCCUCUGUCCAACGAGGCUCUCCUUACGAAAGGUUCUACACCCUCCCACAACAGCACCACCAGCUGUGGGCCGCGUACUCAAACACACAGGAGCCUCCGAGGGACAUUUCACAUCCAAACCUUAAUAAAUUGGCUUUGGAAAAAUUAACUGUCAAGUUCUGUAUCCCAACCGCACCCCCCGAGACGUUCCCAGGAUUCAACAGCUUUGACCCAGCUUUUCUAGUAUUUCUUAUGUAUCUUUAAUUUUUGCUUUCCUUUUCUGGAGGAAAAAGAAAAAAAAAAGGCAGCGAUUGCCACUGCAACCUUCUUUUCUUCCCCCUGAGCUUUUGUAAUUUCAUACAACAGUUCGUAAUCAAAUCUAGACUGCCCCCUCCCCCAGCCAUACCUUCCCCAUCCCUCCACAGGACCACAUGUAUUCUGCCAUACGUGUUAAGUCCUAUCCAGUCAAGCAUUUGUGCUCAGUUACCUAUCAGUGUAAAUUCAGGCACUGGAGUCUAGGCACCCCAUCUAACAUGCAAGUUUGUAUUGGUGAUGUGCUUGGAUUCUAAAGGACGCUCUGGAGGGAUUUUUAAAGCCAGUAUGCAGUGUGUUUUAAACCUUCAGUGUAUGUGAAUUUCUAGAAAAUAUUUAAGUUUGUGGGAAUAUCUGUCAGGGGAUAACUAAUCCAAACUGAGAUCACUGUUACAUUUGAAGACAUUUCACAAUCAUGCUUAUUGGGAAAUACCACAAUGAACAAAGAUUCCAGAACGCUUACCACAGAAAACCUUUGCUUUGAAUACAUAACAGGGACUUUGAGUUUUCUUUCUGCCCAGGAGAGACCUAACAUUCUUGAAGGCACAGUUUUGUUUUUUUUAGCAUUUAUUAUUUUGUAUAGACAUAAGGCAUGGCUACUUGUUUUCAGAGCAUUCUAUUGAUGUUAUCUCUACAGUUCUAUAUUCAAACAAACCUUAGUGGGCUUUGAAGUUUUGAACAUAUCCUUUGAAAAGAGAGAUUUGUAUUCCUUGUAUUAACAUAGAUGCCAAAAGGUAGGCAAACAGUGUAGUAAUGUAUACACAGGUGUUAUUUUACAAGGUCCGUAGCCCUGCAGGAAAGAUAGCAUUUGUAACCUAUAUUAUCUGUGAAAUGAAGAAUUCAAAGAAAGAAUGUCUCAGCUGUCCCUGAAGGACAUUCAACACAUGCAGUUCAGAGUAUAGAAAAUAAAUUAAAAAGAAAACAAAAAUAACACAAGGAAAGCAUUAAGCCCAUGUGUACACAAUGCGGUCUUCAAAAGAAUGUGUCAAAUAAAAAUAUCCCUCGGGUCAUGUAAUGCAAAGUUAAAAUAAAAUACUCUUUGGCAAUGAAA